rnacentral:tRNA from 4 species
GCCGCCAUGGUGAAAUCGG